UACAGAGGUGGCAAGCGUUGUUCGGAAUUACUGGGCGUAAAGGGCGCGUAGGCGGCCUACUAAGUCAGACGUGAAAUCCCCCGGCUUAACCUGGGAACUGCGUCUGAUACUGGAAGGCUUGAGUAUGGGAGAGGGAUGUAGAAUUCCAGGUGUAGCGGUGAAAUGCGUAGAUAUCAAGAGGAACACCUGCGGCGAAGGCGGGUUGCUGGGCCGACACUGACGCUGAGGCGCGAAAGCUAGGGGAGCGAACGGG
rnacentral:rRNA from 1 species